ACACUGGGAAAAGCAGUAGGCAACAUGAGUGUAUGGCGGCUGACCUGAAUGUCUUUGUUUUCCAGAAGCUGGGGACAGAGGGGUAGGAAAUGUAUUUACUGAGCAUAUGCCUGCAUGAGGGAGUAUGGGUUGGUUGUAGGUGUUAUGAUUUUCUUAUAUUUAUUCCACCUGCAGUUCACUCUAUUCAGAGGUAAAGACUCUCCUCUGGCUACAGUGUGAAGACUGCAAAGGAUGGCUGCACACAGAUUGUGCUGUUGUCGCAGAGCAAUCCAUCAGAGAUCCCUACUGGUGUGGUUGCAAGAGACCUUUGCCUUUGAUUGAUGGGUAUGUGGCUGGUUUGGUAUACUUUCCUACUUUCACAUUACAAAUUAAAUGGAUGUCAAUUACUUGUUUUUUUCAUUGUAGGACACUAAGAGUUCUGCAGCAGGAUGGAGUGCAGGGUCUCAUUGGUGAUGAUGAGCUCCAGAAACACAUCAAGCACUGGUGUCUGAUGAAAUUAAGUCGAGCCGGAUGUAUCUUUGGAGAAAUCCCGGAACCUCAUUGAAACUGAAGCAGCUUUUAAGACCAAAGCGUUUCCUUUUCAAUGAAGAAAAUAGUAUCAAACUACUUGACAGAAUAAAGGGUACUUUGGAGUUGGAUGGUGACCUGGACACACUUGAUUUUCUGUUUGAUGUGAUGAUGCUUGAAGUAAGGAAAUAUCAAGUCAAUUCAUUUCACACCUUUUAUGUAAUGUAUAUGUCUAAAUUGGCCCUGGUCAAAAUAAUUGUAAUAAUAUAUUCUGUUACCGUUGUUUUUGAUGAGCAUUUCAAUUGUUGAUGUCUUUGUUAAGGUCACCAUCCACAUCAUCAGAAAGAACGACAGCGUUUGCCGGUACAUGGCUGAGAUGUGCCUUGCCUCAGGAACUGUGUUUGAGUGAAUAUAUAGUGUACUACAGUGUUUUGUACAUGUACAAAAAGUGUUUUGAAUUGUAUUAUUUAUGUUUUCAAAUACAUCUAUUUUUAUCGAAAAUAUUAAUGGUAUGUGUUGAUUUUUAUUUUAUUGAGAGAAAUGCUUGUAAACAAAGAAAACGAAUGUAACCUGGCUGUGUUGACUGACAGGGAACUGCAAUUUAACAGUGUAUUGGAAAAUGAAAAUACUCAAACCUUGUUAUUAUAAACACAUUCAUAUUUCAUUUUGUCUUUAAAAUAAU